CAUGAUCAGAAACUAAAAAAGAGACAAAAUAAAAUUUGUAAAAUAUGAUCAAACUGAAGAAAAUAUGACAGAUCUUCACAAAAUUGUCAAAGCCAAAUAUCAUUGGUAAAAUUUUGGUCGAAUGCGGUACCAACUUUUUUCGGAGGAACUGGAGCCCUGGUGGUCUUCGAAAUACAUUAGCAAUGAUGUUCCGGAGAAAAAAAAUCGAUCGUUUUCGGAUUUUAUGCUUUAGGAUGGAUUUUUUCUCAAAGGAAUUGGAAUCACUAUCGAGAAUACGAGAAAAAUUAUUCGUAUGGCAUAAAGGCAUAAGGCAUCAUUACAGAAAAGCGAGGAAAAAAAACGAAUUGGAUUUCUUGUGGUUGCAGAAGAAUAUUUGACACCGCUGGACUGCUGGAUCAAUAAAAAACGCGGGUGACUUUUUCAUACGAGCCUAACCACAUAAACAAAGAUGAAUUCAAGAAACAAACGAGCGUCUUUCAAAUUUUCUCCUCCAGCUGUGAGUGAAGCAGUAGAGGCAGAACCAAAGAAUACACGUUGGCUUGUACGAAAUGUUUCAAAAUUUCGCAUACGACAUUUCCAGAGCUCGCAAUACUGCC